GACGUAGGGCGCGAGCGUUGUCCGGAUUUAUUGGGCGUAAAGAGCUCGUAGGCGGCUCGUUGCGUCGGCUGUGAAAAACCCGCAGCUCAACUGUGGGCUUGCAGCUGAUACGGGCGGGCUGGGAUUCGGUAGGGGAGACUGGAAUUCCUGGUGUAGCGGUGAAAUGCGCAGAUAUCAGGAGGAACACCGGUGGCGAAGGCGGGUCUCUGGGCCGAUAUCGACGCUGAGGAGCGAAAGCGUGGGGAGCGAACAGG
rnacentral:rRNA from 1 species